GUUAUGAUUUCAAAUGUUGGGGGCGGUGUAUCGCUCGCACCGGUUCCCGAACCUCUCUCGAUCGCAGCCGGGACGGUCAUCGUGGAGGUUUUAGUCGGUUGGAGUUCAGCCGACUACCACGCCGCUUUCCCCAGAAGCGGCCUGGUGUCCAUGCG